AAUCUAUGUCAACUUCCUUAUUUAAACACGAUCGGACGGUACAGAUCAAAUCGCGAUGAACGGCCCAUAUUCACUCCCUAUUUAAUCGCGAUCGAACAGUUCAGAUCAAACGCGAUAGACGAUCCAGAUUAAAAGAGAACAGAUAUAAAUAACUCUUUUCACACAAAACCCUAACCCUAGCAGCUGGGAAGGAAGCCGACCGCCGCCGCUGCCGCACUAGAACCACUUUCGACCGCCAAAUAGGUAAAAAUGUUCCUCUUUAGUCGAAAUUCGAUUUUAAACAUCUCCAUGACCAAAUCGGAGUAAAAUGACUGACAAAUUGGCUGGAAAUUAUGGGUAAAGCGCCGCCGCGGGAAAAUACAAAAAAUAUAUCCGAUGAUGCCAUUCUCGAUUCCUGUUCUACAUAAUUCUUCAACUAUUGUAAUCACUGUUCUCGUUCUGCAUAAUUUGUUCAUUCUAUUAUAUUAUUUAUCCUCCCAACUACCAAGUCCUAGAUUGUCAUGAAAUAGAUAAAUGUACCUAGUACCCCACAUACUCCGUCCUCAUCAUUAACUACAAAAAAUGCUUUAUAAGCCUUUUUUAAAUCCUAAAUAAGUUUUGCCUCUAGAGGACUCUUUGGAAAUCCAUUAUUUUGUCCAAAGACAAAAAUCUCUAGUGGAGAAUUCUAUACUAGUCCUUCCCAUGAAUGAUUUUUAACUCUUCUACUAAUCCUACUUUAGAUAGGUUAUAUUAGCCAGACAAGAUGCAUAUCAUCAUCUUUUGCUUGAGUGUUCUCUCACCGAACUUCUAUGAUUUCAUUCAUAAUGGGGAAUACGUUUUUCUCAUUUUGAGAUAUUGUAAUGUCGUAGUAGAUUCUAUGUGUACUUUAAUAAACCUUAAAAACUAGAUCACAAUAUUAAACACGGAUGGGCAUUUUUUUUUGUAGGUCAAUCAUAGCAUACCUACUUUAUUUGUGGAGAAAUCAACAUGCACAUGUAAAUCCAUAUGAGCAUUCAAAAAAGCUUCACCAUAAUACAUUUAUUGCAUUUUUGUAUUCAAAUUUUUAUUGCACACAAUGUC
rnacentral:lncRNA from 1 species